rnacentral:rRNA from 1 species
AGCGAACGCUGGCGGCAGGCCUAACACAUGCAAGUCGAACGACCUCUUCGGAGUUGGUGGCUGACGGGUGUGUAACGCGUGGGAAGGUGCCGUUAGGCUCGGGAUAACACUGGUUCACUUGUGCUAAUACCGAGUGUGCUAUUCGGGUGCAAGAUAUAUCGCAAUUGGAGAGGCCCGCGUCUUUUUAACUUGGUGGGGAGGUAAGGGCGCACCAAGGCGACGCUCGGUAGCUGGGCAGAGAGGCAGACCAGCCACACUUGGACGGGGACCCGGCGCAGAAUACUACGGGAGGGAGGAGUGGGUGAUCUUGCGCAACGGGGGAAAGCCUGAAGCAGCCAUGCCGGGUGAAUGAUGAAGGUCUUAGGAUUGUAAAAUUCUUUCACCGGGGACGAUAAUGACGGUACCCGAAGAAGAAGCCCCGGCUAACUUCGUG